CUUAGUUCCAAUUUAUUUUUUUCUGUUUGCGAGUGUGCUGAAGCAUCCUCCAUGCGAUCAGCCCCUAGAAGUAUGCAAUUAAGGAUUCACACUCUAUUCUAAGAGGUUUUUAAUGUAAAGAUUCUAGGCUGUGAUAGUUGUGUAUUGAGAAAAUCAUUUUGAGAACAAUCAUAUUGCAAUUAAUAAUAAAUUGUCCAAAACAUUUCAGUAGACAUUCCGCCAUGUCGAUGAGGACUGAUAUUUAGUACAUCAAUGAGAUGUAUUUGUCAUUAAAAUAAAAAGGCUUUCCUAAAAUUAAGUGACAGCUUGGGUCCUAGAAAUAAGCUUCAUACACCGCAAUUCAGAUUUUUUAUUACAGGUCACAUAAAAAACCUCAUAAAAAUCUAGAGAAAAAUAUUGAAACGCCUAAAUGUAUGCAAAACUAAAACAAAAAUCGCCUCUUACUAAUUUCCUACUGCUUUCAGCCUUUCACCUUCAAUAUUCCAGUCCAAAUUACAAGCAGAACAAUAGCAACACAUCCUUCCGUGUCAGGUAAUUGAUCUCCUCCAUCCGUACAGUCAUACUUUCUUCCGACAGUACCGAAAAAGGCCUGCAAUGUUCAUCGUAGAUCAUCAUUUAACCUGAGCUACAGAAGCAUGAGCCAUUGUGACACGAGCAACGGUGGCACAGUUCCGGUCCGGGCAACCCGGAUCCUUGCCCAAGGGCCGAACAGCACAGGAACAGGAAGGCAGUGCAGGUAACAAAGGGCUCAAAGGUACAGUACAGAACGAGCCGGGACAGCAUUACAACAUGACCAUUUCCUUCGCAAGUAAUUCAAAAGAAAUAACGAGAUGAGCUGCGUUUGUUGUUCGGAACAGUUGCCCAAAUAUCCGUCUUUCUCUACCCUGAACCGGAAGCAUAUCAUCAUUACGUAGCACAAACCUUCUCUAGGUGAUUCAAUUCUGCUUCAGAAUCCAUUUGCAGCAAGGAUGACAGUGUUUGAUUCAUGCCACGACCCGGACAUCACCACCAAAACACCUUUUGUCCGUCUUUAGGGGCGGUGAAAAUGUUGUGUAAAUAAAUAAUGCAUGUUUUGACCCAUCUUCAAAGGGAAAACGGAACCUUUGCAACAAUGAGCAAUGAAAAUACGUACCUUAACUUGUCACUAAACACAGAUCGAUGGAAGGAAACGGUUUUCGAACAAUUCCCGUUUUGUGUAACAGUAAGGCUGGGUGUACGAUUGACUUUUUAUUUGCCGGCGACUGUCCGCAACCGGAUGCGGUACAGAAUCGAGAAUCGAGAAGCCUGUAUGCAGCCGGUACAGCCGACCAGUGACGUUCGUGUGCACCGCUGCAUCGUUGCAUCGUGGGCUUGGGCAUCUGGGCAAACAUUAUGCUCAGCGUCGUUGCACAGCGGGCGGCAAGCCGGCGUAGGCAGGAACGUCGAAGACGUGUUUGACACCUUUAAGACGCGAAAGCAGCCCUCCGAAAGCUCCCUUACAAAAACUACACGAGGGAUAAGAGAGCGUAGCGAAAGCAGAAGCAUCAUCAUCACCCUCAACCCUGGACCCAGCCGAUGACGACGCAACGGGACGACACAUACAUCGCCAGGAAGAAACGAUUAUCAAGCUGAGCAAACAUCAUUAGAGAGAUGGACGGGCCACGAGACGAGAUCAUGCCCAAGGAACCGUGACAAAAAGGGGAAAAGGGAGAAGGUGUUUUGCCCUUCCGCUCUCCCCUCCAGUCCCCAUCGGAAGACCCAUCUCAAGACGUACCGGGUGCCGAUGCCGAUAACAAAGAUGCUGCCAGCGUUGUCCUCGGCCCGGCGGGUCCUGGACCAACUCGGAACGGGGCGGAUUGCCGUACUUGAGUGACUAUUUGCUUAGGUGUGCCGUCAAUUAUAAACCUUCAGCUUUUUUUUGUUGUACAUCUUCCCGUACCGUUUUCCUGCCUCUUCUAGUACCCGAAACGAAACGGAACUAUCAUAUGCAAACGAGCUUUCCUUACGAUUUUCUAAAUGUUGUUUGCCGAGAGGACAGAGAAAAGCGUUUUAAAAUUAAAAAUAAAAUAUUACUAUCACUCACACACGCGUAUCGAACGCUUUAAAAGCAGACGCUAAUUGGGCCAUUUAGGCUCACAAGUCUGGUCUAGAGCCUGCCGAUGACUUCCGGUCGCUACAGCAUCACAACAACAACAACACUCUUUACAUUAUUUUCAAAGCAAAACAAACAAAAACGCACAAAACACGAUGACCUCUGCCACACACACACACACGAUGAUGAUUGCAAUCAAUUUUUCUUUUAUUCCUUCAUCACCUCCCCCUUCACUCCCACCCUGGGGAGCUGUGGAAACACUUCUUGCGCCCUUAUGUUUCCAAUGUUACCGCAAGCACUUGAAUCUUAAUUGGUAAACAUAUUUUUUACAGCGCACCACCCAGCUCCAUAACGGCUCGUUAGUGUUUCAAGCACUAUUGCUCACGCGCGCACACAGAAACGUUUUCCAUACGCUUUUCUUUGCUGGUGUGAAGACACACUCAUGUUGAAGCCCACCCCUUUUUUCCACCCCGUUCGGUAGGGUCAUCUCCCUGCCCAUGGUGUCUCUCGCGCCCAUUUUCCAUCAAUGGGCCCAAAAUAAAAAAAAAGUAAAAACCCCAGCAAGCGUUCCUAGCGACAAUUGCAUCGUCGAGUGUGUGUGUGUGUAACAAAAGUAAUCGGCAUCAGUAAAAAUAGAAAACACCGAUAGGGGUAGUUAUUUAAAGUUGGCUACAAUCAUCUUCAUCCUACUCCGAACAAAAGGCUCAAAAUCGUUAUUGUAACGAUUAGUUUCAAUUGGGCCUGCUUGCUACCAACUACGUACGGACCGGUGGUACUUCUCUGUGUGUGUGUGUGUGUGUGUGAGUGUGUGCCAGUAAAGUAUCGAAGGAGGCUGUGAGCACCCACUUGAUGAUGUUGCGCGUUUGCGCCUAUGCCCUUUGGCGGAGUUUAAAUGUUGGAGGAGAAUGUUGUUUGCUGCGCUUUCGGCGGAUCGUGCCACUGUGUGCCCUGUUUUCGGUGCUAUUCUGACCCUGGUGAGAGGGUGAGUAUUUUUUUCGAUACAUACAAAAGGGUAGGGAGUUGUGAAAACUGCAUUGUACUGAAUCUGAUGCAACCCUUUUUUCCACUUUGAUUCACGAGUUGGUUGUUUUCUUUCAUGUUUUGUGUUUCUAUUUGGUGGUUCUACACGUUUUAUUGAACAAUCCGUGGUUUGCUUGUAGUUUGUUGUUGAUAUUUAUGGAUAAAUGUUCCCGGUAUUAGGUAAACAGCUUACAAGCUGCAUAUUUGCUAUCAGACUUGUUCUAGUCUGAAAUUACAAAGACAAUCAAGUAUUCCACGAUACGGUACAAGAAUGCAGCUUACUGGACCUUCCUGCACUACUUUACAAGUCCU